rnacentral:rRNA from 1 species
GACGAACGCUGGCGGCGUGCUUAACACAUGCAAGUCGAACGAGAAAGGCUCUUCGGAGCUGAGUACAGUGGCGAACGGGUGAGUAACACGUGGGCAACCUGCCCCAUGGAGCGGGACAACCCGGGGAAACCCGGGCUAAUACCGCAUGAUUCGUACGGUCAUAAGUCCGUACGGGAAAUGGUAGCUUCGGCCUCCGCCAUGGGAUGGGCCCGCGGCGCAUUAGCUUGUUGGUGAGGUAACGGCUCACCAAGGCGACGAUGCGUAGCUGGUCUGAGAGGACGAUCAGCCACACUGGGACUGAGACACGGCCCAGACUCCUACGGGAGGCAGCAGUGGGGAAUCUUGCGCAAGGGGCGGAAGCCUGACGCAGCAACGCCGCGUGUGGGAAGACGGCCUUCGGGUUGUAAACCACUUUCAGGGGGGACGAAGCUUCCGAGGUUAAUAGCCUACGGGGUGACGGUACCCCCAGAAGAAGCCCCGGCUAACUACGUGCCAGCCGCCGCAGUAAGAC